AAACUUAAAGGAAUUGACGGAAAGGCACCACCAGGCGUGGAGCUUGCGGCUCAAUUUGACUCAACACGGGAAAUCUCACCAGACCCGAACAUCUCUAACGAUUGACAGAUUGAAAGCUCUUUCUUAAUGAAGUGGAUGGUGGUGCAUGGCCGUUCUUAGUUGGUGGAGUGAUCUGUCUGGUUAAUUCCGAUAACGAACGAGACCUUAACCUGCUAAAUAGUGACGCAAUUCUCGAAUUGUGACUCACUUCUUAGAGGGACUGUUGGUGUUUAACCAAAGUCAGGAAGGCAAUAACAGGUCUGUGAUGCCCUUAG
rnacentral:rRNA from 1 species